GUCUGAUGCCAAAGCGAUUGAUGCACAAUAUGGCAGUGAAAAAGGCCUUACCGCCCUUUCUGCUGCUCUAGCAGGCGGGAAUCUUAUUUAUGA
rnacentral:ncRNA from 1 species